AAAUUUUUUUGGGAGGGAAAUAGAUUUACAAGGGAUUUUAAAAGAUUUACAGGGGAUUUUAAAAUGGUUUUAAAAUAUGUACUAGGAAUUUAAAAAGGAAAAUUUACAAGGGAAUUUAAAAGGUUUUUAAAAGUUUUACAAGAGAUUUUAAAAGGGUUUUAAAAGAUUUACAAAGGAUUUUAAAAGGGUUUUAAAAGAUUUACAAGGGAUUUUAAAGGGAUUUAAAAGAUUUACAAAAGUUUUUUAAAGAUUUUUAAAGGUUUAAAACUGUUUUAAAAGGAUUUUAAAAUAUUUACAAGGAAUUUUAAAAGGUUUUUAAAAGAUUUACAAGGGAUUUUAAAGGGCUUUAAAAGAUUUACAAAAGUUUAUAAAAGAUUUUUAAAGGUUUAAAAUUGUUUUUAAAGGAUUUUAAAAUAAUUACAAGGGAUUUAAAAAGGGUUUUAAAAUAUUUACAAGGGAUUUUAAAGGGCUUUAAAAGAUUUACAAAGGUUUUUUAAUGAUUUUUAAAGGGUUUAAAAGUGUUUUGAAAGAUUUACAAAGGAUUUGAGAUAGUGAAAUUGAUUUGGGGAUUUAGGGUUUAAAUUUGUUUCAACAGACAAAACGACGUCGUUUGUCUUUGCAAUAAACGACAUUGUUUUGUUCUAACAGAGCAGAUAGACGGAACAUUAACGUCGUAAAAAAUUAUGUUAACCUAUUUAAUGGGAAGUCAACAAAAACUUUGUCAUUUAUUUAUAAAGUCAACAAAAACUUUACGAUUUAUUUGUUUUCUCUGAAGUUUAAGAUUAAAUCGUCCCAAAUUUGAAAGUUGGUGAUUUUUUUGACAUUUUUCCCUUUUAAAAUCCCUUGUUAAUCUUUUAUAACCCUUUUAAAAUCCCUUGUAAAUCUAUUUUCCGCCAAAAAAAAUUUACAAGGAUUUUUAAAAGCAUUUUUUCGGUUGAGGAAAAAUUUGUUACGAAAAAAAAUUUGGCGGGAAAUUUUUUUUUUGGCAGGAAAAAAUUUUGGCGUAAUUUUCUUUUUGCCGGAAAAAAUAAAUUUUGGCGGGAAAUUUUCAGUUUCCAAUUACAUGUUCCUAUUGGAUGAAUGUAAUUUGGUCAUUUUAUUCAAGGGAAAGAGUAUUUUUAAAAAUGGACAACAUAAAAGGGUAUUGUUGAAAAAAGGUAGUAAAAAAAGGGUAGUUUUGCAAAUCUCCCUAAAAAGUUUGGAAAAUUAUAAUAUUCAACUUUUGAUAAAAAGUUUAACUAUUUAUAAUUUUUGAAACUUUGUAAAGUUUCUAUUUUUUAAAAUAAAGAACCCGAGUAAAGCGGAUAACCACUUUAAUUUUGGAUGCCUGAUAAAUCAAGCUUCCUGCUUAUUCUUAACCGGAAUCAUUUUGGUCCUUUUUAUAGUAUGGCUAUGAACCAAUGUCCAAUUUUUUAAGCAAUGUGGGACAUUGUACACAUAUUAUUUCUUCAUCGAUUGAAUAAUAUAUGUCCGUUUAAAAAAAUUUGAAUUACAUAAUAUAC
rnacentral:sRNA from 1 species